rnacentral:misc_RNA from 1 species
AAGGAUCAUUAUCGAGUGCGGGUCCUCUGGGCCCCAUCUCCAACCCUUGUCUAUCUUACCACGUUGCUUUGGCGGGCCGGUCCUCCACCGGAUCGCGGGAGGGUUCCCCCCUCUCGUCCGUGCCCGUCAGUAGCCCCCUUCAACUUCUUCAAAGGUGAUGUCUAAGUCUUAACAAGCAAUAAGUAAAACUUUCAACAACGGAUCUCUUGGUUCUG